ACACACAGAAAGGGAGAGAAAAAUGCCAGCACAUGUGCAUGUUAGAUAAUGCUGCAUUUUGUUCUAAAACAUCUGAAAUUCAAGGACAGAUUUUUGCUUCUGCAAUAUAGAAAAAUUUCCCCACCCAAAGUAUCUACUGUAUAUUUCCCCUUUAAAUGACCUUAUUAUUUUUUUUUUUAUAGUAGGAAAUAUAAAAAUUGUACUACACAAGAUAAGAUCGAUAAGACAUACCACAAUAUUUAAAAAAAAAAAAAAUUCAAAAGAAUAUUUGAGGCCCAAGUACUAAAAUGCUUAAAGUCUUGUUAGUAGAGUUUUGCUUUCAAGACGGUAAUAGGUUUGCAUUAAAAAAACAAGGGUUAUAUAGUUGUUCAACACUAGUUUAACUUGACUAAGAGGCCAGUAUAUUCUGUUAACUUGUUAUUUUCUUUGUAAAGACUUUAUGUUUAUAAAGGUAAAUCUAACAAAUUAACAAACCUUUUCCAAUAACAAGUUUUUUUGGUACCAUUUUUCUCCCACGAUCACUUCCACAGCAUAAUCCAGGACUAAAUCAGAUUGCCAGGGUAGAAAUGUACAAAGUGACAUUGAUAGAGAGGUAGUACUUUCUAGGCAAACUCGGAACCAAGAGUGGAGGAUGAUAAAAAAAAUGUUACUAAAUGGUUAAAUAUCCCCUUCGUUUUCUUUCUGUCACGUUGCAGGUUUUACUCCUUUGCAGUUUUAAGAUUUUCAGAGUCAAAAGUCAAAGUGAGCUUUAUUGUUAACAUAGAUCCAACUUGACAGUUCCAUCCUCACGAACCCACGGUGCAGCAUGCUGAAACAGCAUCUGAAAGCCAGCAUCAUAACAACAAACAAGCAAUAAAAUAAGAUGCAAAAUAACAAGAAGUAACAUAGCACAAUGUGGUAGAUGAAUAAAGUGGCUGGUGUAGUCCCUGAUGUGUUAAUGUUUUAAGUGAUAGUGUCUGUGUAGGUGGGAGGUUUUUUUUUUUUUUUUUUUUUUGCAAAUACCAGAUUUAACUCAGCCAUCCAUGAACAUCAGUGUUUUACAGAGUUUACAUUCAAAUAAAUCAAUAAUAUCAGCCGACUUUUGUGGGAGUAUUUGAUUUUAAAGAGGUGCUGACUUUUGCUGUCAGCCUUUGAUUCAAGCCUUUUUAAAAAUUUUAACCUGCAAAUAUAAUCUAAUGUUAGUGUUUCGGGAUGAAAAGUAAAGGAUAUAGAACGUAGAACGGCCAAAAACUACAGGAUACAUUUAGGUAUUUAGUGUGGAAAAAAAAGAGCAAAAACAGGCACAGUUGGGAAAAACUUGACACACCACCAGCUGAUGAUGCUGCGGAUGUUCUUUCCACGCAGGACUUGGAAUGUCCCCACACUGCCAAACUUACCAAUAGUUACAUGACCGUGGUGUCACUGUGCUUAUUUGACAAGGAAACUGGCCUGACUUAAACUUCAUAGAAAAGCUAUGCAGCAUUGCCAAGAGGAAGAGAAACAGUAGAGCCAACAAUGCAGACAAGCUGAAAGCGUACAUUUACAGUAAAUUGGGUUUCCUUAACGCCUUAGCGGAGCCAUGAGCUCCAUGCCACACAACACUGAUGAUUUGAUUCAGCAGUAUUCAGCGCAUAUAUUAUACAGUGUGCAAAAAUAGCUACCAGUAGUUCUUAGCUUUUUUUUUUUUUGCUUGUUUUGUUUUGUUUUUGGCUUAAAGCAAUAUUCUUAUUUUAAAAUAAACUGAACUUUCAGGCCGUCCUUAUUUAAAGGGUGAGAAAUAAUUCUUGAAAUAAAUCACUGUGUAUGCAAUAAUACUGUAUGGGAGAAACUUUUUAAUUGCAAAACUGAACUACAUAAACUUUUGUGUAUUGUAACAUAUUGAGGUGAACCGGUAAUUUAACUUUUUGGUUAGAUUUUAGAUUUUCCAGAGCUGCAGUUAUUCAUCACAUAGUUAAAUAAAUUACAGAUAACUCAUUCAAUUUUAUUUUGCUAUUUAAUUUUAGUAACUUGGUGGCUACAUUUCCCAGUUACAUUGCAUAAUACAAUAGUGUUUAGUUCAGUGUUUCUCAACCUUUUUUGGGCCCCUAUCCAUUACCAAUUCUGGGUAAUGGAUAAGGGGAUCCAUUACCCAGGUCCUUCACCGCCCCCCAUCAAAGAAGAUGUAGGAUACUUUCACUGAAUAUUAUUUUAUGAUUAAUAUUACUAUCAUUAUUGUUAAUGUUUUGAUUUGUAUGGUUGUUUCUGUACUUAUAAAAAAUAAAUUCCCAGAGAACAAAAAAGCCAUAUGAAUAGAAAUUAUUUCUACAGGCGUCAACAAAAAAUGCAAUGAAUGGACAUUCAACUUAAAAUCGGUAGGCCUAAUAGCAGCCAAUUAGAGUGGCAAAAAAAUAUUCCUGUUCUGUGCAAUUUUCUGAUGUUAGUUGUUAAUUAUUGCACAAAAUGACCAGAUAAAAGAUGUACAACAAUGCCAGUUUAAACUUUGAUCUAUUUCCAAAACGACAGGGUUCUGCAACAUUAAAACAUGAAUAGAACUGCAACUAUAUCAAUCAUAACUCUUCUUCUCUUCAGUGCAGCUGCCUUCCAUUUAUAGUAUCAGCUAUAAAAUUUCACCCACGUGGCAUUUACUUUGCCCAUAUCACUUCAACAAUAUUAUUUUACCUUUUAUCUGAAAACAGUAUCUGUUUGUUCUUGCCAUACAGUCCUCUGUAUUAACUAUUGCUCAAAAGGUCUUGCCAUACAAGUUUAUUCCUCUGUAUUUACUUUAGUUUCUUAGUUUAUUCUUGCAUUUUGUUCUUCAUUCAUUUCCAUUUAUUUUCCUAUGAUUAGUAUUAUCUUUUCUUGGUUUAUUGUUAUAUCCUCUUUAGUUUAUUUCCUGUUGCUAGUUUUAUUUUCUCGUUUGUAUUGACGCUCACCACCAGUAAUCUUUCAGUUUCACCUGAUUUGACACUCAUAUUGAUUUUUCACUAUUCACCGCCGGAUUCUCUGAUUCUGAUUCACAUCUACAGUCAUGGCCAAAAGUAUUGAGAAUGACACAAAUAUUAUAUUUUCACAUGAUCUGCUGCCCUCUGGUUUUCAUGUGUGUAUGUCAGAUGUUGUCAUCACUUACAGAAAUACAAUUGCAAUCAUAUUAUGAGUAACAAAAGCUUUUAAUGACAGUUAGAAUGAGUUAAUGCAGCAAGUCAAUAUUUGCAGUGUUGACCCCUCUUCUUCAGGACCUCUGCAAUUCUCCCUGGUAUGCUCUCAAUCAAUUUCUGGAUCAAAUCCUGACUGAUAGCAGUCCAUUCUUGCACAAUCAAUGCUUGCAUUUUGUCAGAAUUCCUAGGUUUUCGUUUGUCCACCCGUCUCUUGAUGAUUGACCACAAGUUUUCAAUGGGAUUAAGAUCAGGGGAGUUUCCAGGCCAUGGACCCAAAAUCUCUAUGUUUUGUUCCCUGAGCCAGUUAGAUAUCACCUUUGCUUUAUGGCAAGGUGCUCCAUCAUGCUGGAAAAGGCAUUGUUCAUCACCAAACUGCUCUUGGACGGUUGGGAGAAGUUGCUCUCGGAGGACAUUCUGGUACCAUUCUUUAUUCAUGGCUGUGUUUUUAGGUAAGACUGUGAGAGAGCCGACUCCCUUGGCUGAGAAGCAACCCCACACAUGAAUGGUUUCAGGAUGCUUUACAGUUGGCAUGAGACAAGACUGGUGGUAGCGCUCACCUCGUCUUCUCCGAACAAGCUGUUUUCCAGAUGUCCCAAACAAUCGGAAAGGGGAUUCAUCAGAGAAAAUGACUUUACCCCAGUCCUCAGCAGUCCACUCCCUGUACCUUUUGCAGAAUAUCAGUCUGUCCCUGAUGUUUUUCCUGGAGAGAAGUGGCUUCUUUGCUGCCCUCCUUGAGACCAGGCCUUGCUCCAAGAGUCUCCGCCUCACAGUGCGUGCAGAUGCACUCACACCUGCCUGCUGCCAUUCCUGAGCAAGCUCUGCACUGCUGGUAGCCCGAUCCCGCAGCUGAAACACUUUUAAGAGACGGUUCUGGCGCUUGCUGGUCUUUCUUGGGCGCCCUGGAGCCUUUUUGGCAACAAUGGAACCUCUCUCCUUGAAGUUCUUGAUGAUGCAAUAGAUUGUUGACUGAGGUGCAAUCUUUCUAGCUGCAAUUCUCUUUCCUGUUAGGUCAUUUUUGUGCAGUGCAAUGAUGACUGCACGUGUUUCUUUCGAGGUAACCAUGGUUCACAGCAGAGAAACAAUGAUUCCAAGCACCAGCCUCUUUUUAAAGUGUCCAGUGGUGUCAUUCUUACUUAAUCAUGACAGAUUGAUCUCCAGCCCUGUCCUCAUCACCACCCACACCUGUGUUAAUGGAGCAAUCGCUGAAACAAUGUUAGCUGGUCCUUUUAAGGCAGGGCUGCAAUGAAGUUGAAAUGUGUUUUGGGGGAUAAAGUUCAUUUUCUAGGCAAAUAUUGACUUUGCAAUUAAUUGCUGUUACGCUGAUCACUCUUUAUAACAUUCUGGAGUAUAUGCAAAUUGCCGUUAUAAAAACUGAAGCAGUAGACUUUGUAAAUAUUAACAUUUGAAUCAUUCUCAAAACAUUUGGCCAUGAUUGUACAUCCCUGAACCUUUAAUU